rnacentral:rRNA from 1 species
AUCAUAAGCGGAGGAAAAGAAACCAACAGGGAUUGCCUUAGUAGCGGCGAGUGAAGCGGCAAAAGCUCAAAUUUGAAAUCUGGCUCUUUCAGAGUCCGAGUUGUAAUUUGAAGAAGGUAUCUUUGGGUCUGGCUCUUGUCUAUGUUUCUUGGAACAGAACGUCACAGAGGGUGAGAAUCCCGUGCGAUGAGAUGAUCCAGGCCUAUGUAAAGUUCCUUCGAAGAGUCGAGUUGUUUGGGAAUGCAGCUCUAAGUGGGUGGUAAAUUCCAUCUAAAGCUAAAUAUUGGCGAGAGACCGAUAGCGAACAAGUACAGUGAUGGAAAGAUGAAAAGAACUUUGAAAAGAGAGUGAAAAAGUACGUGAAAUUGUUGAAAGGGAAGGGCUUGAGAUCAGACUUGGUAUUUUGUAUGUUACUUCUUCGGGGGUGGCCUCUACAGUUUAUCGGGCCAGCAUCAGUUUGGGCGGUAGGAGAAUUGCGUUGGAAUGUGGCACGGCUUCGGUUGUGUGUUAUAGCCUUCGUCGAUACUGCCAGCCUAGACUGAGGACUGCGGUUUAUACCUAGGAUGUUGGCAUAAUGAUAAGUC